rnacentral:rRNA from 1 species
UGAACGCUGGCGGCAUGCCUUACACAUGCAAAUCGCACGGCAGCACGGGUGCUUGCACCUGGUGGCGAGUGGCGAACGGGUGAGUAAUACAUCGGAACAUGUCCUGUAGUGGGGGAUAGCCCGGCGAAAGCCGGAUUAAUACCGCAUACGAUCUACGGAUGAAAGCGGGGGACCUUCGGGCCUCGCGCUAUAGGGUUGGCCGAUGGCUGAUUAGCUAGUUGGUGGGGUAAAGGCCUACCAAGGCGACGAUCAGUAGCUGGUCUGAGAGGACGACCAGCCACACUGGGACUGAGACACGGCCCAGACUCCUACGGGAGGCAGCAGUGGGGAAUUUUGGACAAUGGGCGAAAGCCUGAUCCAGCAAUGCCGCGUGUGUGAAGAAGGCCUUCGGGUUGUAAAGCACUUUUGUCCGGAAAGAAAUCCUUGGCUCUAAUACAGUCGGGGGAUGACGGUACCGGAAGAAUAAGCACCGGCUAACUACGUG